rnacentral:rRNA from 1 species
GAUGAACGCUGGCGGCGUGCCUAAUACAUGCAAGUCGAGCGAAUGGAUUAAGAGCUUGCUCUUAUGAAGUUAGCGGCGGACGGGUGAGUAACACGUGGGUAACCUGCCCAUAAGACUGGGAUAACUCCGGGAAACCGGGGCUAAUACCGGAUAACAUUUUGAACCGCAUGGUUCGAAAUUGAAAGGCGGCUUCGGCUGUCACUUAUGGAUGGACCCGCGUCGCAUUAGCUAGUUGGUGAGGUAACGGCUCACCAAGGCAACGAUGCGUAGCCGACCUGGGAGGGUGCUCGGCCAAACUGGGACUGGGACACGGCCCAGACGCCUACGGGAGGCAGCAGUAGGGAAUCUUCCGCAAUGGACGAAAGUCUGACGGAGCAACGCCGCGUGAGUGAUGAAGGCUUUCGGGUCGUAAAACUCUGUUGUUAGGGAAGAACAAGUGCUAGUUGAAUAAGCUGGCACCUUGACGGUACCUAACCAGAAAGCCACGGCUAACUACGUGCCAGCAGCCGCCGUAA